UCGCGGGUGACUGCGAAUCUGAAGGAAGCCCGAGGCAAAAUGCUGGCCUGAUGAACAGGAGGCGGAUGGGGCGGCACAGCGGGGUAAGGCGGCCACAAUCGUCAAAGCCCGAUACUUGCACGGACGCUGUGACUCCGACAGGCACAAGCAGAAAGGUCGCGCGA
rnacentral:ncRNA from 2 species